AACCACAAAAUUGUGUCUUCAUUUUGUUCACUUUUGUGUGAUUCUUUUUUUUUCUUUCUGAAUUCUUUUCAACAGCCCAGUGACUUCUCAGUAUCUCUAAAGGCAUCGGGGAAGAACAAACAUUUCAAGGUGCAGCUCGUGGACAAUGUCUAUUGUAUUGGGCAGCGUCGCUUUAAUACUAUGGAUGAAUUGGUGGAACACUACAAAAAGGCUCCCAUCUUCACCAGCGAACACGGGGAAAAGCUAUAUCUUGUGAAAGCACUUCAGUGACAUUGAAGAUGGACUCGGUCUCCUAGGCCUCUUAUAACUUCCAAGCCUUAGGUCCUAAAUUCACUUUUUUAGAGCAGAGCAAUCUACUCUCUGAAGCAGGCUUAAAGAAUAGGCUCUUUCUAAAGUGUUUGCUCUGUUGGUUGUUAUUGUCCUUUUUUGUUUGCCUACUUUGUGUUUCGAUUCUGUUAAUCUCAGAUCACCUCCCUUCAGAUUGAGAAUUUCACUUAGGUGGCCAUUGUAAGCACUCACUUCCAUGACUGAGUUCUAAACUCCCCUCUUCUGUGUACGUUUACAUAGUUAGUUCAGAUAAAGGAGGGGUGUUUUCAAUUCAAAACAGUGUUAAUCUGUUCAAAUUGCUCACGCUGACAGAACUCUUCGUUAAGAGACAUCGGGCACAGUUUGAAUGCACUGAAGCUCCAGCUAAUUAAGUGAGAUAUAGUAGACAUACAGUUGUGGCUGUGAGUUCUGUAGCUAUUUUGCUUACCAAGUAGUAUAUUACAAAAAUUCCUAGUUCCUAGAAGCACUCUUUACACUGUACUCUGCUAUGACAUUGCCUCUUUGACUCUUUGUAAAGAGUACACUAAUUAAAGCAUUUUGUAAUAGUACUUCUUAAACUACUAUGGUAAGAUUGUAGUAAAAAAAAAUAUCUAGUGUAUUUUGGUCUGUAAUUGCAACAAAGAGAAAUUUUAUUUGAAAGUUGAUUACUAGAGAAAGAAUCAUUGAAUUGUAAAGGCUGAAUGUUUUGGUAAUCUACAACCAAAUGUGCCAUCCACAUAAUGCUUUUUCCUCUUGCCCUUCUGCUUGUUUGAAUUAAACAAUUAUGUAUUUAAUUCUCAAAGUAAUAUGUAUCUGUAGCUGAUUGUUGACACUAAUACAGAAGAUUAAUAAAAACUGAUCUUGGGAUGGGGUGGGGUGGGCUACCAACACUAUAUAUAUAUUUGCUUUACAGAGCGAAAUCUUCAGGUUUUACAAAGGAUGGUGUGGUUGGUAGUAAGAGACACACAGAAUGUUUAUGCAGAAAAUGCAUUUUUUUUUCUCUUUUCUUUACAUUUAAACUCCUUUAUGGUUUAAAUAUACAGUCUUUAGAUGGCACAUUCCUGCGAUUGAAGAAGGGAUCUUGAGAUCUCAAAAUCUUGCAUACUCAUUUUUUUGGCUAUUGUAAUAAAAAAAGGUAUUAUGUCA